GAAAUGUUGCACAGAGGAGGGGGCUUUGCAAAGAGACCGAGAGCAUUGUAGAGAGAUGGGGACUGUUGCUGGGUGGAGGGAACAUUGCAGAAAGAUGGGGGAGCGUUGCAGAAAGGAGAGAGUGUUGCAGUGAGGAUGGAGGGUUGCGGAGAGAAGGGAAAUGUUGCAGAAAGGAGGGAGCUUGGCAAAGAGACCGGGAGCGUUGCAGGAAAGAGGCAGCGUUGCAGAGAGAUGGGGACUGUUUCUGGGUGGAGGGAACAUUGCAGAAAGAUGGGGGAGAGUUGCAGAGAGAUAGGGAGCGUUGCAGAAAGGAGGGAGUGUUGCAGUGAGAGGGGGGGGGGCGUGGCAGGAAGGAUGGGAGCUAUGCAAGAAGGAGGCAGCGUUGCAGAGAGAUGGGGACUGUUGCUGGGUGGAGGGACCAUUGCAGAAAGAUGGGGGAGAGUUGCAGAGAGAUAGGGAGCGUUGCAGAAAGGAGGGAGUGUUGCAGUGAGGGGGGGGGGGCGUGGCAGGAAGGAUGGGAGCUAUGCAAGAAGGAGGCAGCGUUGAAGAGAGAAGGGAGCUGUUGCAACGAGAAGGCAGCGUUGGAGCGAGGAGUGGAGCGUCAUGUUAGAGCCUUACAAUAAUGAGGAGAGGAAUGCAGGAAGGGGGAGAGUGUUAUGGGGGCAGGGUGUGGUUAUAGGACAGGGUAUAAUGUUCCCUCUAUUCUGACCAUUACACCGCGUGGUGCCGCACCGGGUGGGGGGGGGGGGUGAUUGAAGCUGGUGGGUGGGUGGGUCUGGGACUUCCAUAGAUAUUUGGAGAGUGAUGUCUGACACUCGGGGAGGGGGUCAUUGUUUAAUUCAUUCACAUACAGCCAGAGUGCGGAAACACAGAGUCUCUCGGCUCCCACCUUCCAAAGUUCCGCGCAUCGUUCUUAGUCCCAACGCAAGUUUUGGAAGCUUGUGGGCCAUUUGUUUCGCAAUGUGACCGCGAUGACUAUCCAUAUCCCCACCGCCAGCACACGUACCUGUGUAAACCACUGGCCUUGGUUAAAGGUGGGAGGCAGAAUUCUCCAGCGAAAAUCACUGUUUUGUUUUAUUACGUUAACUUAAAAAAAUACAAAUAAAGUUCUUAUUUGCUGUU